UGGGAACAGACUCAUAGUACUUCUGAGGACC
rnacentral:piRNA from 1 species